rnacentral:rRNA from 1 species
GUUUUCCGUGCUGGACCAUGUACAAGUUCCCUUGGAAUACGACGUCAUAGAGGGUGAAAAUCCCGUACUUGAUGUGGCCGCCCAGUGCUUUGUGAUACACUUUCCAUGAGUCGAGUUGUUUGGGAAUGCAGCUCAAAAUGGGUGGUAAAUUCCAUCUAAAGCUAAAUAUUGGGGAGAGACCGAUAGCGAACAAGUACCGUGAGGGAAAGAUGAAAAGCACUUUGGAAAGAGAGUUAAAUAGUACGUGAAAUUGUCGAAAGGGAAGCGCUUGAAGUUAGACAUGCUAGUUGGAAUUCAGCCUUGCUUUUGCUUGGUGCAUUUUCCGGUUAGCAGGCCAGCAUCAGUUUUGCCUGUCGGAUAAGGGUAGGAGGAAUGUGGCCCCUCGGGGUGUUAUAGCCUCUUACUGGAUACGACGGGUGGGACUGAGGACAGCAGUGCGCCUUUAUGGCGGGCCUUCGGGCACCUUCGCACUUAGGAUGCUGGCGUAAUGGCUUUAAGCGACC